AACGAACGCUGGCGGCAUGCCUCAUACAUGCAAGUCGAACGAGAUCUUCGGAUUCUAGUCGGCGCACGGGUGAGUAACAUGUGGGAAUCUACCUGAAGGUUCGGAAUAACUGCGGGAAACUGUAGCUAAUACCGGAUGUGUCUGCAAAGAGAAAGUAUUUAUCGCCUUCAGAUGAGCCCGCACUAGAUUAGCUAGUUGGUGAGGUAAUUGCUCCACCAAGGCUACGAUCUAUAGCUGAUUUGAGAGGAUGAUCAGCCACACUGGGACUGAGACACGGCCCAGACUCCUACGGGAGGCAGCAGUAGGGAAUAUUGGACAAUGGGGGAAACCCUGAUCCAGCAAUGCCGCGUGAGUGAAGAAGGCCUUCGGGUUGUAAAGCUCUUUCAUCAAUGAUGAUAAUGACAUUAGUUGAAGAAGAAGCCCCGGCUAACUUCGUGCCAGCAGCCGCGGUAAUACGAAGGGGGCUAGCGUUGUUCGGAAUCACUGGGCGUAAAGCGUAUGUAGGCGGAUCAAAAAGUUAGAUGUGAAAUCCCUGGGCUCAACCCAGGAACUGCAUUUAAAACUAGUGAUCUAGAAUUUGGUAGGGGUUAGUAGAAUUUCCAGUGUAGAGGUGAAAUUCGUAGAUAUUGGAAAGAAUACCAGUGGCGAAGGCGACUAACUGGGCCAUUUUUGACGCUGAGAUACGAAAGCGUGGGUAGCAAACAGGAUUAGAUACCCUGGUAGUCCACGCAGUAAACGAUGAGUGCUAGUCGCUGGGACAAUAGUUUCAGUGUCGAAGCUAACGCAUUAAGCACUCCGCCUGGGAAGUACGGUCGCAAGAUUAAAACUCAAAUAAAUUGACGGGGGCCCGCACAAGCGGUGGAGCAUGUGGUUUAAUUCGAAGCAACGCGAAGAACCUUACCAGACCUUGACAUGGUAUGUUUGAAUUACAGAAUCGUAAUUCUUCAGUUCGGCUGGCAUACACACAGGUGCUGCAUGGCUGUCGUCAGCUCGUGUCGUGAGAUGUUGGGUUAAGUCCCGCAACGAGCGCAACCCUCAUUUUUAGUUGCCAUCAGGUUAAGCUGGGCACUCUAAAAAAACUGCCGGUGAUAAGCUGGAGGAAGGCGGGGAUGACGUCAAGUCCUCAUGGCCCUUACGGUCUGGGCUACACACGUGCUACAAUGGUGGUGACAGUGGGCAGCAAUACUGCAAAGUAAAGCUAAUCCCAAAAAACCAUCUCAGUUCGGAUUGGACUCUGCAACUCGAGUCCAUGAAGUUGGAAUCGCUAGUAAUCGUAGAUCAGCGUGCUACGGUGAAUACGUUCUCGGGCCU
rnacentral:rRNA from 1 species